UUAGAAAAGCAGGAAUCGAACCUACACCAAGAGAUCAAAACUCCCCAUACUUCCUUUAUACUAUUUCCU
rnacentral:tRNA from 1 species